UACGAAGGGAGCUAGCGUUGUUCGGAAUCACUGGGCGUAAAGCGCACGUAGGCGGAUGUGUCAGUCAGGGGUGAAAUCCCGGAGCUCAACUUCGGAACUGCCUUUGAUACAGCACGUCUUGAGUCCGAUAGAGGUGGGUGGAAUUCCUAGUGUAGAGGUGAAAUUCGUAGAUAUUAGGAAGAACACCGGUGGCGAAGGCGGCGCGCUGGAUCGGUACUGACGCUGAGGUGCGAAAGCGUGGGGAGCAAACAGG
rnacentral:rRNA from 1 species